rnacentral:rRNA from 1 species
GGACGGGUGAGUAACACGUGGAUAACCUACCUAUAAGACUGGGAUAACUUCGGGAAACCGGAGCUAAUACCGGAUAAUAUUUUGAACCGCAUGGUUCAAAAGUGAAAGACGGUCUUGCUGUCACUUAUAGAUGGAUCCGCGCUGCAUUAGCUAGUUGGUAAGGUAACGGCUUACCAAGGCAACGAUGCAUAGCCGACCUGAGAGGGUGAUCGGCCACACUGGAACUGAGACACGGUCCAGACUCCUACGGGAGGCAGCAGUAGGGAAUCUUCCGCAGUGGGCGAAAGCCUGACGGAGCAACGCCGCGUGAGUGAUGAAGGUCUUCGGAUCGUAAAACUCUGUUAUUAGGGAAGAACAUAUGUGUAAGUAACUGUGCACAUCUUGACGGUACCUAAUCAGAAAGCCACGGCUAACUACGUGCCAGCAGCCGCGGUAAUACGUAGGUGGCAAGCGUUAUCCGGAAUUAUUGGGCGUAAAGCGCGCGUAGGCGGUUUUUUAAGUCUGAUGUGAAAGCCCACGGCUCAACCGUGGAGGGUCAUUGGAAACUGGAAAACUUGAGUGCAGAAGAGGAAAGUGGAAUUCCAUGUGUAGCGG